GCCCGCAUGGCUCAGGGGUAGAGCGCAUCACUAGUAUUCAGGACAACCAAAAACCUCCUUGAGGUUUCUGAUUCUAGGCCAAUGAUGAGGUCAUCAGUUCGAUUCUGAUUGUGGGCA